CAAGGAGACACCAAAGAAAGAGGCAGAGAACUCCAGGCUUCAUCCUUGAAAAUGGCUCCCACUGCCUGCACAGCAGGCAGAACAAACAUUCCCAAGACAGAGGAGAGGUUGAGGAGCCUCCCAUUAGCCAGCUCCAGCCCACGGGUCACCCUUUGGUCACGUCCUCUCCAUGACCUCCUCCAGCAACCACGCAUUCCCUGUAGCAUCUUUAUAAGCAAACAAAGCCAGGUUGGAGGAUCAGCCCCUAUGAGGAACAUGUCUUUCUCAACGCAGAGAGGGAACAAAAGAGCUGGCAGAAGUACGUAAAGCCUCUAAAAACUUCUCUUCAGGGCUGGCAUCUGAAAUUUCCACUCAUACUUUAUUGGUCAAAGUGGAUCGUGUGGCCAAGCUCAAAGUCAGUGGGCAAGAACAGCGUCUUACUC